UUGUAGCAUACAAGGCAGACGGCUCAGUAACGCGUAGUCAACCUAACCUAUGGAUGGGAAUAACCUCGGGAAACUGAGAAUAAUGCCCAAUAGAACACUAUACCUGGAAUGGUUUGUGUUCCAAAUGAUUUAUCGCCGUAGGAUGGGACUGCGGCCUAUCAGUUUGUUGGUGAGGUAAUGGCCCACCAAGACUAUUACAGGUACGGGCUCUGAGAGGAGUAGCCCGGAGAUGGGUACUGAGACACGGACCCAGGCCCUAUGGGGCGCAGCAGGCGAGAAAACUUUGCAAUGUGCGAAAGCACGACAAGGUUAAUCCGAGUGAUUUGUGCUAAACGAAUCUUUUGUUAGUCCUAGAAACACUAACGAAUAAGGGGUGGGCAAGUUCUGGUGUCAGCCGCCGCGGUAAAACCAGCACCUCAAGUGGUCAGGAUGAUUAUUGGGCCUAAAGCAUCCGUAGCCGGCUCUGUAAGUUUUCGGUUAAAUCUGUAUGCUCAACAUACAGGCUGCCGGGAAUACUGCAGAGCUAGGGAGUGGGAGAGGUAGACGGUACUCGGUAGGAAGGGGUAAAAUCCUUUGAUCUAUCGAUGACCACCUGUGGCGAAGCGGUCUACCAGAACACGUCCGACGGUGAGGGAUGAAGCUGGGGGGAGCAAACCGGGAUUAGAUACCCUGGGUAGUCCAGCCUGUAAACUAUGCAAGCUCAGUGGAUGGCAAUGACCUUCUGCCUAACUGCAGUGCUUGCCA
rnacentral:rRNA from 1 species